rnacentral:rRNA from 1 species
UACGAAGGGGGCUAGCGUUGCUCGGAAUCACUGGGCGUAAAGCGCACGUAGGCGGGGCGUUAAGUCGGGGGUGAAAUCCUGGAGCUCAACUCCAGAACUGCCUUCGAUACUGGCGACCUUGAGUCCGGGAGAGGUGAGUGGAACUCCGAGUGUAGAGGUGAAAUUCGUAGAUAUUCGGAAGAACACCAGUGGCGAAGGCGGCUCACUGGCCCGGUACUGACGCUGAGGUGCGAAAGCGUGGGGAGCAAACAGG